GGACUUAAAAAGCUUGCUUUUUAAGUUAGCGGCGGACGGGUGAGUAACACGUGGGCAACCUGCCUGUAAGACUGGGAUAACUUCGGGAAACCGGAGCUAAUACUGGAUAAUCCUUUUCUACUCAUGUAUAGAAGCUGAAAGACGGUUUACGCUGUCACUUACAGAUGGGCCCGCGGCGCAUUAGCUAGUUGGUGAGGUAACGGCUCACCAAGGCGACGAUGCGUAGCCGACCUGAGAGGGUGAUCGGCCACACUGGGACUGAGACACGGCCCAGACUCCUACGGGAGGCAGCAGUAGGGAAUCUUCCGCAAUGGACGAAAGUCUGACGGAGCAACGCCGCGUGAGUGAUGAAGGUUUUCGGAUCGUAAAACUCUGUUGUUAGGGAAGAACAAGUACGAGAGUAACUGCUCGUACCUUGACGGUACCUAACCAGAAAGCCACGGCUAACUACGUGCCAGCAGCCGCGGUAAUACGUAGGUGGCAAGCGUUGUCCGGAAUUAUUGGGCGUAAAGCGCGCGCAGGCGGUCCUUUAAGUCUGAUGUGAAAGCCCACGGCUCAACCGUGGAGGGUCAUUGGAAACUGGGGGACUUGAGUGCAGAAGAGGAGAGUGGAAUUCCACGUGUAGCGGUGAAAUGCGUAGAGAUGUGGAGGAACACCAGUGGCGAAGGCGACUCUCUGGUCUGUAACUGACGCUGAGGCGCGAAAGCGUGGGGAGCGAACAGGAUUAGAUACCCUGGUAGUCCACGCCGUA
rnacentral:rRNA from 1 species